AUUCCCUGAGCUCUUCCAUGUCCUUUCAGUAGGUUUCAUCCCCCCAGCCCCAGGUUAGCUGGAAUCUGUUUCUGUUGGUCUCAACCAAGUGCAAACACAAGCAUGUUUUGAGCAGCAGGUGGAUGUGAUGGUGCUCAAGAUCGGUGGCCUAGGGCAGGGGUCCCCAACCUAUGAUCUGUGACUUGGCGUAGUUCACUUGCUACUUCCUGUGACAUCCUCUCCAGGUAAAGAAGCCAUGUCUUCUAGAACCAGCUACAUUAUCUGAGAGGCCCACUGCAAAAUGAACACUCUGGCCCCCUGCUAAAACAUUAUUAAGAAUCUCAAGACAGUGACAGAAGAGCACAAACCUGGGGUCAGCGUGGCCAGUUUGUUUAAUUUCCAUUGAUACACCUUCAGCUUCACCGAUUUUUUCUCCAGCUGUGUCAAGUCUACAGAUGAGUCAGCCACUGGUUUUCAGCAGCAAGAACCAGCUCUCCAGACAUGGAACGAGGUUGUAGCUGGAAGGACUGGUCAUAAGAAAGAACUUCCUCUGGCGGAGGAUGUGACAUCCCAGAAGAGAAGACUGAGGGAAUCUGAUCAGCUCAUGAGGAGGCUGGUUCCUGCUUAAAUGUCAACUGCUGUGGCAGGCCUUUCCUAGAAGUCUAACUUACAGCACCUCCUCCUUAAUUUCAUACAGUCCUGUUUCCAUCAUGAGGACCUGGUAUCUUCUUGUUUAUUUAUUGCUCAUUGACUAUUUCCCUUUUCUCAAAUGUAAGCCCCAGCCAGGAUUUGGAGCAGGUUUCUUCUGUUCCCAGUUGUAUUCCCUUGCCUGGCAAAUAAUA